UCCAUCGGCUGGGAAAUGAACCCGGUCCGCCCGCGUGGCAGGCGAGCAUUCUACCACUGAACCACCGAUGC
rnacentral:tRNA from 1 species